AGAGUUUGAUCCUGGCUCAGGAUGAACGCUGGCUGUGUGCCUAAUACAUGCAUGUUGAACGAAGCUAAAAGUGCUUGCACUUUAAGACUUAGUAGCGAAUGGGUGAGUAACACGUACUUAACCUACCCCCAAGUUUGGGAUAACGUUUGGAAACGAACGCUAAUACCGAAUACGUAUUUUUAUCGCAUGAUAGAAAUAUAAAAGGAGCUUCGGCUUCGCUAGGGGAUGGGAGUGCGCUACAUUAGUUAGUUGGUAGGGUAAUGGCCUACCAAGACUAUGAUGUAUAGCGGGGCCGAGAGGCUGAUCCGCCGCACUGGGACUGAGAUACGGCCCAGACUCCUACGGGAGGCAGCAGUAGGGAAUUUUCCACAAUGAACGAAAGUUUGAUGGAGCGACACAGCGUGCAGGAUGAAGGUCUUCGGAUCGUAAACUGCUGUUAUAAGGGAAGAAAAACUUUAGUAGGUAAUGACUAGAACUUGACGGUACCUUAUCAGAAAGCGACGGCUAGCUAUGUGCCAGCAGCCGCGGUAAU
rnacentral:rRNA from 1 species